rnacentral:rRNA from 1 species
GACGAACGCUGGCGGCGUGCUUAACACAUGCAAGUCGAACGGUAAGGCCCUUCGGGGUACACGAGUGGCGAACGGGUGAGUAACACGUGGGUGAUCUGCCCUGCACUUCGGGAUAAGCCUGGGAAACUGGGUCUAAUACCGGAUAGGACCACUGCCUGCAUGGGUGGUGGUGGAAAGCUUUUGCGGUGUGGGAUGGGCCCGCGGCCUAUCAGCUUGUUGGUGGGGUGAUGGCCUACCAAGGCGACGACGGGUAGCCGGCCUGAGAGGGGGACCGGCCACGCUGGGAGUGAGAUACGGCCCAGACUCCUACGGGAGGCAGCAGUGGGGAAUAUUGCACACUGGGCGCAAGCCUGAUGCAGCGACGCCGCGUGAGGGAUGACGGCCUUCGGGUUGUAAGCCUCUUUCAGCACCGACGAAGCGCAAGUGACGGUAGGUGCAGAAGAAGGACCGGCCAACUACGUGCCAGCCGCCGCCGUAA